GAGGAAGUGAAGCCCAGAGCACCCCCUGAAGGCCUAGGGGGCUGAGGAAGAUAAGGAGUACCAAAAAGCCACGGUGGGAACGGGGUCCAGGCCUAUUCCAGGAGGGAUGGAGAGAAAGAAGCAGCUUAGCCAUGGAAAGCUUAACAUCUGAAAGCUUUCCGAGGAAGGAAUAUUACACUUUGCCCUGGCAACUGAAAAGAACAGGUUUUGGCUUGUUGCUGAGACUUUGAACCCAGCUCCAAUGUCAUUAAUCCUUCCAUGGAAGAGAAAACCAAGACUCAGGGAAGUUAAAGAACUUGUGAAAGAUGCUUCCGUUGAGUCAGUGGAGUGGGGACGGGAAUCUGACUUGUUAGCUUCCAAGAUUCCAACUUGAAGGUUAUGCUGUCUUCUCUGCAGUGAGGGCUUCAUGAGCUGUUAUUACUACAACUGUACACAUGAAUGAGGAAGACUGAUUUCACAGACUAUGAAAAUGAUUAAAAGGCACAUAAAACAAGAGGAUUCAACAGACCCAAAGUGAACCAGUCAUGAAGAGUAAAGUGACUGAGCUUCUCACUGAAAUUCUCCUGUCACUGGGGCCGGCCUGGUGGCUCAGUGGUUAAGUUCGCAAGUUCUGCUUUGGUGGUCCGGGGUUCGCUGGUUUGGAUCCCGG